rnacentral:lncRNA from 1 species
AGACAAAAGAUAAAACAUCACUAGGAUAAAAUCAAGAUGGCUACCUGUCAAUGUACUUUGAAUACCAUAAAUACAGGCUAUGUGCAGUUGAUCGCCAAUUCUGGAUGAAAAUAAUUAAACUGGAUAAAGUGCUGUGGGACAGUGUUAUGUUAUAACCUAAGAAAAAUGAUUUUCUUAAUUAAAUCCGAGAAUGCAGAUGAAUUCCAGACGUUCUUUUUAUUAAAUUAUUAUAACAAAUACUAAUCAGCAUGCAGAUCUAUAUUUUAAAUUCCAAUCCAAGAACGUCAUACCCAAGAGAAGAAGAGUACAUUACACCAUUGGAUCAAUGGAUAUAUAUUUCAUUUUCUUACGACUAACGAUUAGAAGAUUUGCAUUGAUUAUGUAAUCCGAAAAAGAGUUUUAUUCUAUAAUAUUAUGUAAAUAGAAUGCAGCUGCAGUAACAAAGAAUAAUCAAGACAAGAAUGUGUCAAAAGGGGAGUUAAAUAAUUUGACUAGAAGUGUCUACUCAUUAUUAUCAAAAUUGAUAAGAAGAAUAAAACAAUACUACAACUAUGAAAGAUUGUUUAAUGCACUGUUCUUAUCAUACUUGCACUGCGAGAAAACCAUAUGUAGUAAUAUUUUAUCAAAAGAAUACCAGAACACAUGUAUCUUAGUUAUCACAAAAUAAGAAAACAAGUGGCAAAUACAUUAUGUAAGGUAACUCUAUUAUAGAAGAAUAUCUUUUACAAAGUUUUGUACACGGUAAUAGAAGAUAUGUUUUCUUCAUUGGCUGACAAGAAAAAUUGAUGUAUUUGUUAAUAAAUAUCUUAUUUGCAAGGAAUUUCAUGUGAAUUAUUAUGGGAAUAGAAUGCAGCUGCUCUGAUUAAAAAUAAUCUAGACAAUAAUAUGUUAAGAGAUCAUCAUCAUCAUCAUCAGCAUCUUCCUUAAGAAAAA